rnacentral:misc_RNA from 1 species
UCUCCGUAGGUGAACCUGCGGAGGGAUCAUUACAGAGUAUCAUGCCCUUCGGGGUAGAUCUCCCACCCUGUGUAUUAUAUACCUUUUGUUGCUUUGGCGGGCCGCCUCGGCCACCGGCUCCGGCUGGUGCGUGCCCGCCAGAGGACCCCAAACUCUGAAUUUAAGUGUUGUCUGAGUAAAAACAUAAUAUUUAAAACUUUCAACAACGGAUCUCUUGGCUCUGGCAUCGAUGAAGAACGCAGC